CGGCCGGGAACUCAAAGGAGACUGCCAGUGAUAAACUGGAGGAAGGUGGGGAUGACGUCAAGUCAUCAUGGCCCUUACGACCAGGGCUACACACGUGCUACAAUGGCGCAUACAAAGAGAAGCGACCUCGCGAGAGCAAGCGGACCUCAUAAAGUGCGUCGUAGUCCGGAUUGGAGUCUGCAACUCGACUCCAUGAAGUCGGAAUCGCUAGUAAUCGUGGAUCAGAAUGCCACGGUGAAUACGUUCCCGGGCCUUGUACACACCGCCCGUCACACCAUGGGAGUGGGUUGCAAAAGAAGUAGGUAGCUUAACCUUCGGGAGGGCGCUUACCACUUUGUGAUUCAUGACUGGGGUGAAGUCGUAACAAGGUAACCGUAGGGGAACCUGCGGUUGGAUCACCUCCUUACCUUAAAGAA
rnacentral:rRNA from 1 species